UACAGAGGGUGCAAGCGUUGUCCGGAAUUAUUGGGCGUAAAGAGCUCGUAGGCGGCUUGUCACGUAGGGUGUGAAAGCCCGGGGCUUAACCCCGGGUCUGCAUUCGAUACGGGCAGGCUAGAGUGUGGUAGGGGAGAUCGGAAUUCCUGGUGUAGCGGUGAAAUGCGCAGAUAUCAGGAGGAACACCGGUGGCGAAGGCGGAUCUCUGGGCCAUUACUGACGCUGAGGAGCGAAAGCGUGGGGAGCGAACAGG
rnacentral:rRNA from 1 species